GAAACAUCUAAGUACCCGGAGGAAAGGAAAUCAAUUGAUACUCCGCUAGUAGUGGCGAGCGAACGCGGACCAGCCAAGCCUGAUAAGUGAGAAGAACCGUUUGGGAAGACGGGCCAUAGUGGGUGACAGCCCCGUAUUCGAAGCUUUGAAGGAUGUAUUAAGUAGGGCGGAACACGUGAAAUUCUGUCUGAAGAUCGGAGGACCACCUUCGAAGGCUAAGUACUCCUUACUGACCGAUAGCGAACCAGUACCGUGAGGGAAAGGU
rnacentral:rRNA from 1 species